UAAGGAAUAUUGGACAAUGGUCGCAAGACUGAUCCAGCCAUGCCGCGUGCAGGAAGACGGCCCUAUGGGUUGUAAACUGCUUUUGUACCAGAGAAAACCUAUCUACGUGUAGAUAGCUGAUAGUAUGGUAAGAAUAAGCAUCGGCUAACUUCGUGCCAGCAGCCGCGGUAAGACGAAGGAUGCAAGCGUUAUCCGGAUUCAUUGGGUUUAAAGGGUGCGUAGGCGGGCUUGUAAGUCAGUGGUGAAAUCUCUCAGCUUAACUGAGAAACUGCCAUUGAUACUGCAGGCCUAGAGUAUAGAUGACGUUGGCGGAAUAUGACAUGUAGUGGUGAAAUACUUAGAUAUGUCAUAGAACACCGAUUGCGAAGGCAGCUAACGAAACUAUAACUGACGCUGAGGCACGAAAGUGCGGGGAUCAAA
rnacentral:rRNA from 1 species